rnacentral:rRNA from 1 species
GUGCACCAGUCGAGAAACUUUACAAUGUGCGAAAGCACGAUAAGGGAACUCUGAGUGCCUCCUAAGGAGGCUGUUCAGGUGUCUAAAAGCACCUGAAGGAAGGGCUGGGUAAGACCGGUGCCAGCCGCCGCGGUAACACCGGCAGCCCAAGUGGUAGCCACGUUUAUUGGGUCUAAAGCGUCCGUAGCCGGCUGGUAAGUUCCUUGGGAAAUUUGGCUGCUUAACAGUCAAGCUUUCAGGGAAUACUGCCCGGCUUGGGACCGGGAGAGGUCAGAGGUACUCCAGGGGUAGGGGUGAAAUCCAUUAAUCCUUGGGGGACCACCGGUAGCGAAGGCGUCUGACCAGACCGGGUCCGACGGUGAGGGACGAAGGCUAGGGGCGCGAACCGGAUUAGAUACCCCUGUAGU